rnacentral:rRNA from 1 species
AUAAGCGGAGGAAAAGAAACCAACAGGGAUUGCCCUAGUAACGGCGAGUGAAGCGGCAACAGCUCAAAUUUGAAAUCUGGCCCUUUUAGGGUCCGAGUUGUAAUUUGCAGAGGGCGCUUUGGCGUUGGCAGCGGUCCAAGUUCUUUGGAACAGGACGUCACAGAGGGUGAGAAUCCCGUACGUGGUCGCUAGCCUUCGCCGUGUAAAGCCCCUUCGACGAGUCGAGUUGUUUGGGAAUGCAGCUCUAAAUGGGAGGUAAAUUUCUUCUAAAGCUAAAUACUGGCCAGAGACCGAUAGCGCACAAGUAGAGUGAUCGAAAGAUGAAAAGCACUUUGGAAAGAGAGUCAAAUAGCACGUGAAAUUGUUGAAAGGGAAGCGCUUGCAGCCAGACUUGCCUGUAGUUGCUUAUCCGGACUUUUGUCCGGUGCACUCUUCUGCGGGCAGGCCAGCAUCAGUUUAGGCGGUUGGAUAAAGGUCUCUAUCACGUACCUCCUUUCGGGGAGGCCUUAUAGGGGAGACGACAUGCAGCCAGCCUGAACUGAGGUCCGCGCAUCUGCUAGGAUGCUGGCGUAAUGGCUGUAAGCGGCCCGUCUUGAAACACGGACCAAGGAGUCUAACAUCUAUGCGAGUGUUUGGGUGUCAAGCCCAGACGCGUAAUGAAAGUGAACGGAGGUGGGAACCUUUUAGGUGCACCAUCGACCGAUCCUGAUGUCUUCGGAUGGAUUUGAGUAAGAGCAUGGCUGUUGGGACCCGAAAGAUGGUGAACUAUGCUUGAAUAGGGUGAAGCCAGAGGAAACUCUGGUGGAGGCUCGCAGCGGUUCUGACGUGCAAAUCGAUCGUCAAAUUUGGGCAUAGGGGCGAAAGACUAAUCGAACUAUCUAGUAGCUGGUUCCUGCG